GUGCUUGUGGUGUAGGGGUUAUCACAUCCCCCUAACACGCGGAAGGCCUCAGGUUCGAUCCCUGACAGGCACA
rnacentral:tRNA from 1 species